rnacentral:pre_miRNA from 1 species
AGUGGAAUUGCUGGGUCCAGUGGUAACUGUUUAACAUUUGGAGGAACCACCAAAUUGUUUUCCAAAGUUAUUGCACCCCUUUAUAUUCCCAUCAGCAAA